GGCAAGAAGACACAAGAACACAGGCAGAGGUCUACUUCGUUGAUUGGGAGACAUUCAUUACAUUUUAUCGCCACCCGUGCAACGUUCACCAGCCAAGGCCUUCCAAAUGCUCACCGAAACGCGAUCCCUACAGGCUUGUAUGAAUAUUGGAGCUCCUUGUAGGGCUUGGAAAUCAUCUAGAACUUGGUCUAUGAUGGUAGACAAUAAAGGCGAAAUAUGCAGCUUUUCAAAGCUAGAGCUUGUUUCAAAAGCCCAACUGCGUAUAGUCAAACAGGAUCAAGGAUAAUGUUUCUGAAUCGUAUAUUUCGGGUACGAUCGAUAUCCAGCCGGCAAAGCAAAGCCAAGAAUCCAGGAGAAACCAAUAGAUUUUCGUCGUUGGAAGCCCGUGCAGUCCAAACAGGUCACCGUUACGAAAUUCGGGAAAUCUAAAACCACAAGAGCCUUCUUCCUAUUUAUUACGCUGUACAAUUGGAAUACUGUAGUAUACAUUGUAACCGCAAACGCCAGCUUGCACAUCGAUCGUCCUAGUUCCGUACACUUCGUCCAUUAGCCAUGGCUUAGAACAGCCAAUAGAUGGACACAUGAAGUGUGUGCGCGGACCAAAUUGUAACGCGAUACUUAAACUUGGAGAGGGUUGAUACGAUGUUGCGAAGGUUGGAAAAGCCCUGCGUGAACUACAUGAAACUGCGCAUGAUGGCAACGUAUGUGUUGAACCAGGACUACUGCAUAUUUUAAAGACUCUGGGCUGGCGGUACCAUCGCACCGAAUGGGUGUCGUCAGACGUCGUGUCUGGAGCCUAAAAUAAAAGCCUCUACAGACGCUCACAGUCGAGCUAAAAUAAAAGAGACCGAAGAAAGAGAUGAACCAAAAGAGAUGGAAAGAAUUUAAGAAACCGGCAGAGAGAGCAAAGAAAGUCUUGACUCAUCGUGACCUUCUCUCGGAGAGAUCUGACGUCGUUUCUUGGUCAAAACUUUCUCUGUUGGUCUCGAAAUUAAAGUCGGCAGACAGGAUCUUUUCUUCUCUUCUUUCGAUUCUCUUCUUUCUAUUGGAUUUCAUUUUGUUUCGUGUCUGAUUUAGGGCAAGGGGCCGUCUCAUGUCAAACACGAGCGGCUGCUUUCGAUUUCGUCUGUCCCUAUACCGGAACGGCAAAGUUUACCUGCAACACGAAUGUUGCACGAAUCGAAUCAACGACUUUCAUUUGAUCAGAUACCAAUGGCAACAAUAAAAAAUAAAGUAAAGAAAAAAGGCGAAUGAAUGAAACCGUUCACUCCCUUCCCAUGAAGUCACGCCAUGCAUAGGAUAAAUCCUAAUUUCAAUGUUCAGACCCUAAUCAAAACCUCGUCGGCCGUCUGGUAGACAAGUGAAAGAAUGUCAGCCGGAUAUAAUUCAUUCCAUGGUGAAGGACCUUCUUGGAUAGAUUCACGCCUGUAUUCUUCACAAUGCACGAUUGGCAUCAAGGUCGUCAAACGACAUAAAGCUGCGGUCAAGUUAGUUUCUUUCUCAUCCGGUCUGACUGCUUUCUGAAAACGAAAAAAAAUAAAUAAAAAAGAGAAGACAAUAAGAACAUUCUCUCGGGAAUUGUCUCCCUGCCGACAAGGUGUACAGCCAGAACCAAAAACUGCAACUAUAUGCUCUGAGUUAUUGGUUCCCUGGAAGAAAAAGAAAACAUGACUAAUUCUCACUGGUGAGUCAGACUACUUACGCCAACAAUAAUCCCACUCGAAAUUAAAAAAAAAAAAAAAAAAAAAAGGGCGUCGAACCUUUGUCGCGAUGAGCUUGAAAAAUUAAACCUGUCGCCAGUCCAAGUUAUUCCACGCAUAAUAAACAAAUAUAAUUUGAAACUUGACAAACUUUCGACCCUGAGCGGCCAGGAAUAAAUAGAUCAUCGACCAACCUUAACCCAGUUUUUAUCUGAAUCGGGAGCGGAUCACAUGACGUCGUUCGGCUAAUCGAUGAAGUGCGUAUCACCUCUUUCCUGCAACCAACCAACUGGAUAUGUCUCUCUUGGUGCGUUUAUAUGCAGUAUUCAUCAAAAAUAAAAAUUCAGGUGAUUCUUA
rnacentral:lncRNA from 1 species